rnacentral:rRNA from 1 species
UACGGAAGGCAGCAGUGGGGAAUAUUGCACAAUGGGCGAAAGCCUGAUGCAGCUAUGCCGCGUGUAUGAAGAAGGCCUUAGGGUUGUAAAGUACUUUCAUCGGGGAGGAAAAACAAAACUAAUAAUUUUAUUUCUUGACGUUACCCGAAAAAGAAGCACCGGCUAACUCCGUGCCAGCAGCCGCGGUAAUACGGAGGGUGCUAGCGUUAAUCAGAAUUACUGGGCGUAAAGAGCACGUAGGUGGUUUUUUUAAGUCAAAUGUGAAAUCCCUGGGCUUAACCUGGAACUGCAUUUUGAAACUGAAAUACUAGAGUAUCGUAGAGGGAGGUAGAAUUCUAGGUGUAGCGGUGAAAUGCGUAGAUAUCUGGAGGAAUACCUGUGGCGAAAGCGGCCUCCUAAACGAAUACUGACACUGAGGUGCGAAAGCGUGGGGAGCAAACAGGGAUUAGAUACCCGU